rnacentral:rRNA from 1 species
GUUGAACGCUGGCGGCGUGCCUAAUACAUGCAAGUCGAGCGAACAGACGAGGAUCUUGCUCCUCUGACGUUAGCGGCGGACGGGUGAGUAACACGUGGCUAACCUACAUAUAAGACUGGGAUAAGUUCGGGAAACCGGAGCUAAUACCGGAUAAUAUAUUGAACCGCAUGGUUCAAUAGUGAAAGCCGGUUUUGCUGUCACUAAUAGAUGGAUCCGCGCCGCAUUAGCUAGUUGGUAAGGAAACGGCUUACCAAGGCGACGAUGCGUAGCCGACCUGAGAGGGUGAUCAGCCACACUGGAACUGAGACACGGUCCAGACUCCUACGGGAGGCAGCAGUAGGGAAUCUUCCACAAUGGGCGAAAGCCUGACGGAGCAACGCCGCGUGAGUGAUGAAGGUCUUCGGAUCGUAAAACUCUGUUAUUAGGGAAGAACAAAUGUGUAAGUAACUAUGCACGUCUUGACGGUACCUAAUCAGAAAGCCACGGCUAACUACGUG